UACGAAGGGGGCUAGCGUUGCUCGGAAUCACUGGGCGUAAAGCGCGUGUAGGCGGUUUGUUAAGUCUGUUGUGAAAGCCCUGGGCUCAACCCGGGAAGUGCACUGGAUACUGGCAAACUUGAAUACGGGAGAGGAGAGUGGAAUUCCUGGUGUAGGAGUGAAAUCCGUAGAUAUCAGGAGGAACACCGGUGGCGAAGGCGGCUCUCUGGACCGAUAUUGACGCUGAGACGCGAAAGCGUGGGGAGCGAACAGG
rnacentral:rRNA from 1 species